AACACAGCUCCUGGCCCACAAUCCAGAAAAAGUUGUGUACCCUUGAACCAGAUGCUGUAGAACUAGGAUUCCGUUCAAGAUUGGGCAGCCUAAGAAACAGAUUGUACCCAAGACCGUUGAGAGAGAUUUUGAACGGGAAUAUGGAAAGCUUCAGCAGUUGGAAGAUCAGACUAAGAAGCUCCAAAAAGAUAUGAAAAAAAG